rnacentral:rRNA from 1 species
AAUUUUGGACAAUGGGGGAAACCCUGAUCCAGCCAUCCUGCGUGUUUGAUGAAGGCCUUCGGGUUGUAAAGUACUUUUGGCAGAGAAGAAAAGGUACCUCCUAAUACGAGGUACUGCUGCCGGUAUCUGCAGAAUAAGCACCGGCUAACUACGUGCCAGCAGCCGCGGGAAUACGAAGGGUGCAAGCGUUAAUCGGAAUUACUGGGCGUAAAGCGUGUGUAGGCGGUUCGGAAAGAAAGAUGUGAAAUCCCAGGGCUCAACCUUGGAACUGCAGUUUUAACUGCCGAGCUAGAGGAUGUCAGAGGGGGGUAGAAUUCCACGUGUAGCAGUGAAAUGCGUAGAUAUGUGGAGGAAUACCGAUGGCGAAGGCAGCCCCCUGGGAUAAUACUGACGCUCAGACACGAAAGAGUGGUGAGCAAACAG